AAAGAUAUCGGCACCCUUUAUUUAGUCUUUGGUGCAUGAGCAGGGAUAGUGGGUACUGGCCUCAGUCUAUUAAUUCGGACCGAACUAAGCCAACCAGGCGCAUUAUUGGGUGAUGACCAAAUCUACAAUGUAAUUGUCACCGCCCACGCCUUUGUAAUAAUCUUCUUCAUAGUUAUACCAAUCAUAAUCGGAGGCUUUGGUAACUGACUGGUACCCUUAAUAAUUGCUGCUCCAGACAUGGCCUUUCCACGCCUGAAUAACAUAAGUUUUUGACUCCUUCCCCCAUCCUUCCUUCUACUACUAGCCUCAGCAGGAGUAGAAGCCGGAGCCGGCACGGGAUGAACAGUCUACCCUCCAUUAGCUGGCAAUCUUGCACACGCCGGAGCUUCCGUAGACCUUGCCAUCUUUUCUCUCCAUUUAGCCGGUAUCUCCUCUAUUCUAGCAUCAAUUAACUUCAUCACAACAAUCAUUAACAUGAAGUCCCCCGCAAUCUCCCAAUACCAAACACCCCUCUUCGUUUGAUCUAUUCUCAUUACAACAGUCCUCCUCUUGCUAUCGCUCCCAGUCCUAGCAGCAGGCAUUACUAUACUUCUCACAGAUCGUAAUCUUAACACAACCUUCUUCGACCCAGCAGGUGGAGGAGAUCCUAUUCUCUACCAACAUCUCUUCUGAUUCUUCGGUCCCCCUGAAGUA
rnacentral:rRNA from 1 species